UUCAGGGGUCGCCGGUAGCCAAAGGAGACCGGUGGCCUGGAGGGCCGCUAGGCGGACCUGUCUGGGGGGACAGUUCACUGUCUCGGGACGCCAUCUCCGCUCGGGGCCCAGUUGGGAAAGGAUGGACCCCGGGCCGCGUGUGCCUCAUCAGCGGAUGUGGUGGAAAUGUCAGCUGGACGCGGCAAGGUCACCGUCUGUCCACGGGACGGGGCGAAAGCAGUGACCUCCAUUACUGCCGGGGGAAAGGUUGGGGACCAGAUGAGGCAGGUCACGGGGACCCACAAGUCUCACUGGAACUGCCCUGGCAGCUGCUCCCUGAACCAAGACCCCAGCAGUGAAGAAACAGGCAGGAAGAAAACCAGAAGAAUGUGGGGGAGAACAGGGAGACGGAUUUUCCCGCUUGAUCACUCAGAGAGAGGGUUGAGAUAAGAACUCAAAGGAGAAGAAAUAAAUGAAGUAUUUGCAACACUAUCCACUCACCCGGGGCCACGGCGAUAUGCAUUAUGGAGGAAUAUUUAUUUAUUUCUUCCUGAUUUCAUGCAAUAGGGUUCAAUUAUGAAUUUGAUUGCUUUGGGUGGGGGGGGCCCGAUAGAAAAUCCUUUAUCCUGGCUGCAUUUAAUUGUGUUCCGUGGCCGAUCUGGCAUUUAUCAUUGCCCCUGCUGUCCCCUAGUCCAAAAGAUAAACCAUCCUAGGGGUAAUAAAUGUCAGACUAUGAUUA